CCCCACCCCAGCUCCUGCUCCCCGGCGGCGGCCGAGGAAGACAAACAUAAAGAUGAAGUGCUUAAUUCAAGGUCACACAAUGUCGGGGAUGGACCUCCAGAUUUCCUUACUGACCUGCAUUAUCUUGUGGAUACCUGAGUGAAUUCCACACCACCCAUUUUAUAGAUGAAACCACUGAGACAUGGAGCAACUGACUGAGUAGUCACUGCCCCACCCCUGCCUGGAGCCUCACACAUGACUCGUCUCCUCUCAGUGACCACAGUACUUAUCCUGUAUUACAUGAAGGAAAUGAAAUAAAAAGACUGCAACCC
rnacentral:lncRNA from 1 species